GACGAACGCUGGCGGCGUGCUUAACACAUGCAAGUCGAACGGAAAGGCCCUGCUUUUGUGGGGUGCUCGAGUGGCGAACGGGUGAGUAACACGCGAGUAACCUGCCCUUGACUUUGGGAUAACUUCAGGAAACUGGGGCUAAUACCGGAUAGGAGCUCCUGCUGCACGGGGGGGGUUGGAAAGUUUCGGCGGUUGGGGAUGGACUCGCGGGUUAUCAGCUUGUUGGUGGGGUAGUGGCUUACCAAGGCUUUGACGGGUAGCCGGCCUGAGAGGGUGACCGGCCUCAUUGGGACUGCGAUACGGCCCAGACUCCUACGGGAGGCAGCAGUGGGGAAUAUUGCACAAUGGGCGGAAGCCUGAUGCAGCAGCGCCGCGUGCGGGAUAACGGCCUUCGGGUUGUAAACCGCUUUCGCAUGUGACGAAGCGUGAGUGACGGUAAUGGGUAAAGAAGCACCGGCUAACUACGUG
rnacentral:rRNA from 1 species